rnacentral:tRNA from 1 species
GCAGGCAUACUCAAGUGGCUGAAGAGGCGCCCCUGCUAAGGGUGUAGGUCGGGUAACUGGCGCGAGAGUUCAAAUCUCUCUGCCUGCGCCA